rnacentral:lncRNA from 1 species
ACAAGAAACUUAAAGGUUUUUCCUUUAGAAUCAGCGGACGUUCAUAUACAUGAAUUUACACUCCCCUAUGAAUUCACACACGCACACUCUAUCCCUUAUGAGCGCCUCUGAGAAAUUGAACCAACAGGUUGCGAGAUUGACGAAGUCAUGACCUGUGCAUCGCUGUCGAUGGGUCGUCGCUUACAGCGAAAGAAUAAGUCGUUAAACCCAGAAAUAUAUCGGGAAAACUGCAAACACCCUUCUCAAGUCAAGGACUUGAACCCGGUUGGAUAGCUUCCACCACAAGGAACCUAACAAACUGUGCUACGCUCAAUUCACCGAAGAGAUAAUGGUUGCGGUUUAUUAACCCUAUAUGUAUGUCUUUUUCGGCUCUUUCUUCUUAUUCAACUUCCCAACAAUAACCUCCCACAUGACUCAUAACACAACACAAGGAAAAAAAGGACUUCAUUUGGCCGCAACGUGAACCAGCACGCUUCUGGCCUAUAGACAGACUGGCUAUGGAUUCUACAGCAGUGAUCGGAUCGAAUCAAAUUUACAAAUUAACUUACUGUAACGCAAACUGAGCUACUCGACAUAAACACACAUAACUUCAUGCUGGCCAGUGGACGUCGAUCACUGCGCGGCUGUUGUCACCUCUUUCGAGGCUAAUUCUUCUUAGACGGCGUCGUCUGUUUCAUCUGCUUCUUCUGAGGCAGGAGCGACUUCCUCCUAUGGGCUGUCUUCGUCAAUUGCGUAUUGCUUGACGAUGCCUUCACCUUCUUUGGGGGAACCUUUGCAGCUUGCUCGCCCAUGACAAGAUUUGCUUCUUUUCUAAUAAUUCUUCUUCUCCAGUGGUAGCUGAGGUGAGGUGGAUAUAGUGUUUACUUUGCUCUGGUUGGGUUGAGGAAGCCUGCAGCAAUGGCUCCAUAUAUAUAGGAGGGGGAAGGUCUUUGAGAAAGCGCUUCGGCCAGACAACACGCUUCCACCGUGUGUGAGAAUUAUUUGGUGGCAUUAAUGUUUCUUGUGCCAGUCUGUUCUCUUUUGGGGAGUAGAUAUGCAUUAUAUUCAAUGCAUAUUAGUUAAGGAUCGCUGCUCAAUGGUUUGGUCAAUGGUUGGGUAUGCGGUUGGGUCAAAGGUUGUGGUCGCUGCCGCGUUGGUCUUUGUUUCUUCUCCUCCUGCUCCUUAUAUUACUACUACAUCAGAAUAAGUGUUGGUGGUUCAGUUUUGGUAGCACACGCCAGACACACAGAUGGCUUGUUAGUUGUUAGCAAGUACACACGAUGUUGCCGUUGCAUGGGAUGUUUUGCUAGAGCUUGAGUUUACAUUAGCCAAACCAAUUGGUAUCAUGUACGACAAAUCUUGUAUAUAUGUUUUGGUAGAGCUUGAGUUUAGAUUAGCUAAACCAUAAUAACUUUGUAUAUUAGUUAGGGGUCGAGUUGACAAGAGAGUUAUUUACCCAGGUUCAGACCUUGUGAGGGAGAACAUUAAUCAAAUUAUAUUUCAUGAGCUGGCCAGUAGGCAAAGAUCAUGUCAAGGUUAAAAAAUGAAUAGGAAUCGGCCGGCGCACGCACAAGCUGCCUAGCUUCGUCGACCUUCUCUUCUUUAUUUAAUUUACUCCUCCUGCUACCACGGCAUCUCGUUAACCACUAAUAUUGGAGCAAGCUAAGUAUGUUAAUACCGCUACAUAAGAACACCACUCAACCGCUCGCUAGAGUCUUCCCGCUGCUCAAUUACUAGCGCACUACCUUGAGCUGUCCCGCUUGUUUCUCCUUGGUGGUAAUGCUAAAGAAUAUUGCAAGAAACUGGAAUGAACACGCAAAAGACAGAUGUAGUUCAGCAACGUGUUAAUUAAUCACGUGUACGUCUUUUCUGACUCAUUUCUUUUAUUUGGUCACCCAAUAACACCAGAAAAACACAAAUAGCCACAACAUGAACUGGCACACUUAAUGUUUUUGCAGGAAAAACUCUCGUAAUUCAAACAAAAAAUAAUUCAAAAAAAAUCAUAAAAUUUCCUUUAGUCCCGGUUGGUGUUACCAACCGGGACUAAAGGGCCAGGGCAUUAGUAUCGACCCUUUAGUCCCGGUUCAUGAACCGGGACUAAAGGCCCUCACCAACCGGGACAAUAGGCCCUUUUUCUACUAGUGUCACUUAGUUCCGAGAUACAUGGCCAUUUAUAAAAAAAAUCUAAGAAAUACAGUUUACCACUAUUUGAAUUGAUACUGAAAAUUGCAAUUUUUUUUGGAAUGUUGAAAUACUAUGAACAAAAAUCUAAUCAUGCGUGUUUUGUUUUGACAAAUCCUUGCAUACAUUUAAAUUGAUAUUAGAAUCAAAUAAGCUUUCUAUCUAAAAUUGUGAUAUAUUUGCUUCCAAGACAUCAUAUUCUCGUUUGAGAAUGUAAAUAUUAUUACCUUCUCCUCUAUUGUCUCCUCUUAUUCAGUUCAUAGAUCGCAUGUCUCCUUCAUGUAAUCACAUGUACUCACACCAUUAUAUUAUUUAAGUUUGACCGACAAUAUGACUAUAUCUAAUGGUUGUGUAUGUGAGUGAGGUUGCUCGUUCUCAUCCACCUAGGUAAUCUUUUGGAUUGGCAUGGCUGUUCUGUCAUAUUGUUGAAGUAGAUGCAUAUGUGUAUAUUAUUGUGUAAAUGCUCACCGGCACCAAGAGAGAAUGUGAAACUUCCAAUAUUUUUCAUGGGCAACAUAUAAAAGAUAAGCUAAGUUGGCCCUAUAGCGCAGAUAAAUGUCACUAUAUCCCGUUAGAAGCACUAAAUUGUACAUAUGUGUUGUUUAGCAGGAUUCUAGAGGUUAUAGCCGCGGAAAACAUUCAACACACAUCUCUAUCCAAUUGUGAUAAUCAUACAUGCUAGCACAUUAUUAGACAUAUCUGUAGUAUGCUAAGUGUAACAAUAUGGCCUCUUCUACUUUGUUGAAGCAUCGUAUCAUGUUACAAAUAUAACGAAAAAUCUUCAAGAUCCGCUUGUAAAUCCCCAAGUACAUAAAUUCCCAUUCAAUUUAGAAGUCCGACAAGAUGCCAAGGUCGGCUCAUUGGGGGCAUUCCUCAAGUAUGUUACAUGACUUGACUAUAUAAUUUUAUUUCCCAUGCAGAGGUAGAAGAAAACCGUCCUCAAUAUUGUCUCCUCUUAUUCAGUUCAUAGAUCGUAUGUCUCCUUCACGUAAUCAAAUGUACUUACACCAUUAUAUUAUUUAAGUUUGAUCAACAAUAUGACUAUAUCUAAUGGUUGUGUAUGUGAGUGAGGUUGUUCGUUCUCAUCCACCUAGGUAAUCCUUUGGAUUGGCAUGGGUGUUGUGUCAUAAUGUUCGAGGUAGAUGCAUAUGUGUAUAUUAAUUGUGUGAAUGCUCACCGGCACCAAAAGAGAAUGUGAAACUUCCAAAAAAAUUCAUGGGCAACAUAUAAAACAUAAGCUAAGUUGGCCCUAUAGCGCAGAUAAAUGUCACUAUAUCCCGUUAGAAGCACUAAAUUGUACAGAUGUGUUGUUUAGCAGGAUUCUAGAGGUUAUUACCACGGAAAACAUUCAACACACAUCUCUAUCCAAUUGUGAUAAUCAUACAUGUUAGCACAUUAUUAGACAUAUCUGUAGUAUGCUAAGUGUAACAAUAUGGCCUCUUCUACUUUGUUGAAGCAUCGUAUCAUGUUAUAAAUAUAACGAAAAAUCUUCAAGAUCCGCUUGUAAAUCCCCAAGUACAUAAAUUCCCAUUCAAUUUAGAAGUCCGACAAGAUGCCAAGGUUGGCUCAUUGGGGGCAUUCCUCAAGUAUGUUACAUGACUUGACUAUAUAAUUUUAUUUCCCAUGCAGAGGUAGAAGAAAACCGUCCUCAAUACUGGAUCCAUCCAGAGGUGGCGGCAGUUUACAACCUCACAUCGACUGGAGACUAGCAUCGCCCUUGGAAAUGCCCUUGUAUUGCUGCUAACGUAUUUCUCAUUUCCCAGUAAACUGGAUGCAUUCAUGGAACAUGUAUGCCAAUCUCUCCUUUUAUUCAAUCACCCAACAACAACAUGAUGCACGACUCAACAACACAUGUAAGAAGAAACUAUACUUGGCCACCACGUGAACAAGCACACUUAUGAUUUACAUACUGAGGUUACUAAUUUAGACAACACAACAUAAACUGAUGUACAAGACAGAGACACAAUUGACUUCAUCAUAGCCAGACAACAUGGAUGAGAACGCGGCUGCUCUCACCACUUUUGAGGCCACUUCUUAUUUCUUAGGCUGCGGCUGCUUCUUCUUAGCCAUCAUCUCUUUUUCUGAGUCAGCCUCACGUUUAUCCUACGGUUACGCCCCUUCUUAGGAUUCCUUCGUUGUGCCCCCGGCUUAUUGGUUGACGGUUGCGUUGGCCUGUUAGGGGGAACCGUUGUACCUGGAACCUUUGGACCUGACUUGUCCAUGACGCCUCCUCCCCUCCUCCUCCUCCUCCUCCUCCUCCUCCUUCUUCUUCUUCUUCUUCUUCUUCGCUUGUGCAAGGUAGCUGAGGUGAGGUGGAUGUGGUGUUUGUUUUGCACCGGUUGGUUUGUGGAAUCCUGCAGCAACGGCGCGCGCAUAUAUAUAGGAGGAUUAAGGACUUGGGAAAGCGCUCUGGCCGGACAAGGUGGUUUCAUCGAAGGAAAAUGAUUUGGUGGCAUCCCCAGUGCUGCUGUUAGUCAGUCUCUUUUGUGUCGUUUUGGGGAGUAGAUAUGUAUAUUUGAUUCAUUUGUUAUGGGUGGAUAGGUAUGCAGUUGAGUCAGUGGUCUUCGUUGCUGACAGUUGAUCUUCAUUUCUUCUUCUCAUCCUCCUUGUACUAUAGCUACAUCAGAAUAAGUGUUGGUGGUCAAGUUUUACUAGCAUAUACCACACGGCUUGUUACUUGUUAGGCCAUCUUCAACGGCUAUCCGUGGACAAAGAGGAUCAGUCCGCGGACACAAAUUUGGGAGCCGGCUAUCCAACGCUGCACCAUACAUUUGAAACACUUUGUCAACAAAGCAGAUGUACCUCACUCAGACACAUCAGAUUACAUAUAAACCUGGUGAAAAACAUUUAUAUUUUUGACAUAUUCUAACUAAAAAACUAAAACUAUGUGCAUGUACCACCACACGGAGGUCCACUACCUUGACACGGAUACAUUACACUAGUCUACGAUCGGCCGCGGAGUGUCCCUUUGUCUUCCCCUUGUCAGGCAGUCUGGUGACUCAUCGGAUUGCUGGGAGCCCCGGAGGUAUAUUCCUCCCCUGUAUCUUCCCUAUGUCUGGCUGCGCCGCUUAUCGGAGUGGCAAAAAGGGUGCUUCAGUCGAAAGGGAAGGGGGAAUCCGCUUCCGUGAAGCGCGGAUCAGGGUUGGUGUUUGGGGCAGGGGAAGAUGGUGGCCUGCGAGACAGGGCGAGACAUUUGGUGUGCAUGCGGCGAUGCUGCGGCGGUGGCCUUCUAAGGACCCAAGUGGCGGCGGGCUCCCAUGUUCUACUUUUCCUCGAUUUUGUCGGCAAACGCGGACAUGCUAGCCGCCGCCUCGUCGAUCUCCACUAUAUAUGAGAUGCCUAGUAUAUAAGUGUCCUACUAGGACACGACUUCAUAUUCUAUCUAAACACAAUACUACUCAGAGUCCAACUAUAACCUACCUUAUACACAAUAUUCCAUACAACUCUAACAACUCCGGCUGGGUCAAGGAAACCUCAUGCACGGCCGGCUGGAAGACGCGCUUCCACCAUGGAGAAUGGUUUGGUGGCGUUCAGAGUCAGUCUCGUUUGUUUUGUUCUGUUUUCAGGAGUAUGUAUGCACAUUCGAUGCAUUUGUCAUUGACGGAUGGAUGCGGUCGGGUCAAAGGUCGUGGUCGUCUCCGCGUCAGUCUUCACUUCUCCUCCAUCUCCUCUUCCUUAUACACCUACAUUAGAACUUGCGUUAGGUUAAGUUUAGGAAGCAUACGGAAUUUCUUUUAGUUAUAAUCAAAUAGAUUAAGAUAUCUUGCAAUCACACCAUGUCAUAGGCACAUGUGAUUUUCAUGCAAAUUAUUUCUUUGACCUGCUAUCACCAGCAACUGCCAGCCUGAACCAUUUUAUAUCAAUCCAAACCAAAACGAGCUACCUGUACAAGAUGGAGAUAAUUGCAACAAAUUCAGACCGUGUACGUCUAGUGCAUCUGUUGAUAGCAUUUAACCUGCCAUGAUUCUUUGAGGAUGCAUGUUGGCCUAUGCAUCCUUUGAUUGGAUGGACUUCUCUAAAUAUUCACUACACAAGUCAGUCAUUCUCAGAAGUGGACGGUCCAGCGAAUUUGGAAGGGUUAAGAACAUGGUUAAUAGUAUAGCCAGCUGCCAUGUCAUCUACAGCUCAUUUUAUAGUCAAUAUGUACAAUAUUAGAUCAAAAGAGUGUACUACUUUUUUAUUAUGUGGUCCACCUUUCAUUCUCACAAAGUGCCUAGGAGCACGUGCUAGAGCUCGCUCUUCAUGAAGAGCCCGCUUAUCUUCUUUCUCCUCUUCUCUUUACUCCAACUAAGCAGAAAUAUACUAGUUUAUUCCUUAUAGCCCGCUGACUCAGCUCUAUUGUACUUGCUCUAAGGAAAGAAAAUUAUCUAUUGGCUAUGGCUGAGACUAAUUCUGACUGAUGUUGUUGAUGUGUCUGCUAAUUUGGCAAAAUUCCUCGCUUGUCCAAUUGCAGCAUCUCGCUCUAGUAGUAGUCCAAGUCUCUCAGCCUCAAAUACGAUGCAUAUGACUAUUUUAAUGGAAAAACCUGUUGGCGUGUUGCGUCAAAUGGCACAGACCGGCCAAGCUGGGCCGGCCCAUUAAGAUGUACAGUUGUUCUCCGUCUUGGGGAACCUUUCGGAAGGUUCCAGUCUGGUUUUCACCGUUUUUUGUUUUUCUUUCCUGGUUUUCAUUUUCUUUUUUUCUUAAAUAUUGGUCUUUUUGGUAAAAAAAUAUCUGUUAUAAAAUAUCAAAUUGUUCAUGUUUUACAAGUUUAUUGGAAUUUCUAAAAAUGUUUUCACUUCCAAAAAUUCUUCACAAACUAAAAGAUGGUCAUGUUAUUAUAAAAAAUGUUUGUAAUUUUUUAAAAUGUUCCUGUAUUUAAAAAGUGUUCACAAAUUCAAAAAAUAGUCAGGAACUUCAAAAAAUAUGUUUAUUGUUCAUUUUUUAAAGGCACAUCUUCCAAAAAAAUAGAUUCUUCAUAAUAAGGUUUAUGUUUUUAAAAAAAUAAAUCCACCAAAAAUAUGUUUACUAUGGGCAUUUGGGGCAUGUUUUGGGGUGUUGUAACGGGGCUUCCACCCUGCUAGUGCAUGUUCUAUGCUGGUUUCAGUCUAACCCGCCAAGAGUGUUUCCUAUUGUACUGCUUGCUUUCUUUCUAAUAAAGAUCGGCCAAGGGCCCUUCGAGAAAAGAUCUUCCCCUUUAAUGGCGGAUUUGGUUUUUUAAUGGGAGGAAGAACAACAUACCAGGCUACCAACUCUCCCAUUAAGAGUAGAGAUUCCCGAGAAGCCGCUGGCGCUAGAUAUAUGACCGCAGCCAGGCGAGAAAGACGCGGGAUUCUAGAUGGGGAUAAGGAACAAUAUUGGUGGAGAUGAAGAAGGGUUGGACGAAACCAAAAUUAACAUAUCCUUGUCAAAACAAGAAACCAAAAUUAACAUAUGAUGAUGAAGGAAAGUACAGGGGAUGUGUGGGUAAGGGAAGGAAAGCAAAUAAUUGAUCGAAUCGGCACCAGGUUUUGUUGGGACACACGUGAUUUCUUGUUAUGAUGUUCGCACUUGGGAGAAGCAGAACAUAGCGAGCUAGAAUGGUCAUGCCAGCUGCUGCUUAGACAGGCAUCUCCGGCGUGCUGGGAAUCAAUGUCCCGACAUGCUCGAAACAGGAGGGCGCUGCACCGUGUUGGAACUGGACAACCACCAUGUUGUAACUGUGGUUGAACACCAGUGGUGGGGACAGAUGCGAGGGACCUGUCCUGUGAGGGCGGCAACACCACGGCGAGCGGUAGCUAGCCGGUAGUGCUUCGAGAAUCGGUCGGCGCACGUCCAUCACAAGUAUAGUGGCGCUAGCUAUCGACUCUUUUCGAUCAAAUGGGAAGGAGCGAGCACUGUGUGAGGAAGGAGACGAAGAGAAGAAGAAUCGAAACGUGCCAGUGGGGCCAAUCCGGCUGGCACCAAGCGACCAACCAAAUUUUGGGCAAGUCGACCGGCGCCUAGCGCCGCCCUUGGAAAUGUCAUUGUAUCGAUGCUAACGUAUUUUUCAAUGUACUGGAUGCACUCAUGGAACAUGUAUGUCAAUCCUUCCUUUUAUUCAAUCACCCAACAACAACCUAAUGCACGACUCAACAGCACAUGUAAGAAGAAAGUAUACUUGGCCGCAACGUGAACAAGCACACUUAUGGUUUACAUAUUGAGGUUACAAAUUAACCUGCCACAACAUAAACUAACGUACAAGACAGAAACACAAUUAACUUCAUCAUUGCCAGACAACAUGGAUCAGAAUGAAAAAAAAUAAAAUAUAGUAAAAAGAACAUGGAUCAGAACGCGGCUGCUCUCACCACUUUUGAGGCUAUUUCUUAGUAUUUCUUAGGCUGCGGCUGCUUCUUCUUAGCUAUCCUCUGUUUUUGCGAGUCAGCUUCAGAUCUUUCCUACGAUUACGCGACUUUUUAGGUUUCUUUGGUUGUGCUUUGGCUUAUUGGGUGGCGGCGGCGUUCGCUUGUUAUGGGGAACCGUUGUACCUGGAACCUUUGUACCUGUCUUCUCCAUGACGCCUCCUCCUCCUACUCCUCCUCUCCCUCCUCCUCCUCCUCUCCUUCUUCUUCUUCUUCUUCUUCUUGUGCGAGGUAGAUGAGGUGAGGUGGAUGUGGUGUUUGUUUUGCACCGGUUGGUUUG